rnacentral:rRNA from 1 species
UACCCGCUGAAACUUAAGCAUAUCAAUAAGCGGAGGAAAAGAAACCAACAGGGAUUGCCUCAGUAACGGCGAGUGAAGCGGCAACAGCUCAAAUUUGAAAUCUGGCCCCCCGGCCCGAGUUGUAAUUUGCAGAGGAUGCUUCGGGCGCGGUGCCUUCCAAGUCCCCUGGAACGGGGCGCCGGAGAGGGUGAGAGCCCCGUACGGUUGGCGGCCAAGCCUGUGUGAAGCUCCUUCGACGAGUCGAGUAGUUUGGGAAUGCUGCUCUAAGCGGGAGGUAGACCCCUUCUAAAGCUAAAUAUAGGCCAGAGACCGAUAGCGCACAAGUAGAGUGAUCGAAAGAUGAAAAGCACUUUGAAAAGAGGGUUAAACAGCACGUGAAAUUGUUGAAAGGGAAGCGCUUGCGACCAGACGUGCGCCGGGGUGCUCAGCGGGCGUUCUCGCCCGUGCACUCGCCCCGGUGCAGGCCAGCGUCGGUUCGCGUGGGAGGAUAAAGGCGCCUGGAAUGUGGCUCCCCCGGGAGUGUUAUAGCCAGGCGUGCCAUGCUCCCCUGCGGACCGAGGUACGCGUUCUGCAAGGACGCUGGCGUAAUGGUCCCCAGCGACCCGUCUUGAAACACGGACCAAGGAGUCGAGGUUUUGCGCGAGUGUUUGGGUGUUAAACCCGCACGCGUAAUGAAAGUGAACGUAGGUGGGAGCUUCGGCGCACCACCGACCGAUCCUGAUGUUCUCGGAUGGAUUUGAGUAAGAGCGUAGGGCCUCGGACCCGAAAGAUGGUGAACUAUGCUUGGAUAGGGUGAAGCCAGAGGAAACUCUGGUGGAGGCUCGCAGCGGUUCUGACGUGCAAAUCGAUCGUCAAAUCUGAGCAUGGGGGCGAAAGACUAAUCGA